AAGUCCAGGAGCCAGUGCCGUAGAGGAUGUGGAAGCAGGAAGGGAGCCAAGGCAUCUUGUGAAGUUUUACUGAGUGUGGGAAUCUUGCCCAGCCUCUGACAUCAUACAGGCUGAUGACACCGAUCAGGUUGCCCUUGUGUGGACCACGAGAAAGACAAAGCUAAUACAAAAUUUGUGGGGAACUGUGAAUGAACAGCUGACUCAUUGGCAAAGACCCUGAUGAUGGGAAAGAUUGAAGGCAGAAGGAGAAGAUGGUGACAGAGGAUGAGAUGGUUGGAUGGCAUCACUGACUCGAUGGACAU